rnacentral:rRNA from 1 species
UACAGAGGUCUCGAGCGUUGUUCGGAUUCAUUGGGCGUAAAGGGUGCGUAGGUGGCGUGGUAAGUCUGGUGUGAAAUCCCGGGGCUCAACCCCGGAACUGCACUGGAUACUGCCAUGCUUGAGUACUGGAGAGGAGAUUGGAAUUUACGGUGUAGCAGUGAAAUGCGUAGAUAUCGUAAGGAAGACCAGUGGCGAAGGCGAAUCUCUGGACAGUUACUGACACUGAGG